rnacentral:rRNA from 1 species
CCUACGGGAGGCAGCAGUGAGGAAUAUUGCUCAAUGGGCGCGAGCCUGAACCAGCCAAGUAGCGUGAAGGAUGACUGCCCUACGGGUUGUAAAUUUCUUUUAUAAAGGAAUAAAGUGAGGCACGUGUGCCUUUUUGUAUGUACUUUAUGAAUAAGGAUCGGCUAACUCCGCGCCAGCAGCCGCGGUAAUACGGAGGAUGCGCGCGUUAUCCGGAUUUAUUGGGUUUAAAGGGAGCGUAGAUGGGUUGUUAAGUCAGUUGUGAAAGUUUGCGGCUCAACCGUAAAAUUGCAAUUGAUACUGGCAGUCUUGAGUACAGUUGAGGUAGGCGGAAUUCGUGGUGUAGCGGUGAAAUGCUUAGAUAUCACGAAGAACUCCGAUUGCGAAGGCAGCUUACUAAACUGCCACUGACAUUGAUGCUCGAAAGUGUGGGUAUCAAACAGGAUUAGAUACCCUUGUAGUC